ensembl:lincRNA
UAAGAAGGGGUUGGGGUUGUGUGUGGAGAGGUUGAAUAAAUUGGUAGGCUUUUUUUUUUCCAUUUACUGAUAACUUCUUAUUUCUAAGUCCAGAAAUCAGUAUAGAUUUUCAACACCACAGCUUCAGGCCCCGAAAGGUCUUUAUGGAAAGGUUAAUAGAGCAUCACUGCAUCAUUAUGAUACCCGUCAGGCAUCUCAUCCAAAUCCAGCCCUUGAUCCAACUAUUCCAUCAGAGCCCUCUUUCUUUUCCACUUUAAUGUGUAAUACAUUGUUUCCUUCAUGUCAUCCCAAUCUGUGCACUUGAUGGAGGAAGUUGGCUUCAGUAAACCCUCCCUGAAAGCUCUUGCACUGGUUUAUGCCAGGGCAGUGUGGGAGGCAUACAGAAUAUCACUAAGAAUUAUAGAGGUUUAAUGGAAAGUGGAAUUUAAGCAUUUGUCAAAGACUUCACCCCUGUCUGUAUUACCCAGGUAUUAGUAUAAGCCUUGGAUAGCAUGACCAAAAGUACAAGAAACGAGAAUGGUGUCACUCAUUGAAACAAGAGAGAUUUAACUUCUUAGAAACAGAGCACCCAAUCCAGCUUGUGUCCCAUUGCAAGGAUCAAGGAUCUGAGAAUCACCAGGAAUGUCCCGUCAUGGAAUUGCCACCCUCACCUCCAUUACUACCCUGGCUAAAUUGCACCCCAUCAUGGAGUAGCUGGACAUAUAUCUUGGACCCCACCACCAGAGGAGUGUUAACUCCUCUUCAAGAAACCACUGAGGAUACCCCAUCUUCCAUAGGUAAGAUAGUAUUUCGUCAGAGUCCAGAAGUGAUGGAAGGACCUGAGACUGCUGAAGAGAAACAAACAAACAAACAAAAAGCAGCUGGAGUAGAACAAGUGACCAAUGGCUCUGGUGAUAGGAGACACCUGCUCCAAGAAGGAUGUCAUAUUAUAAAAAAAAAAAUUUUGCUGUGUUUCACAAUUAUUGUUAAAAGUAAGUCAUGAAUUAGGAGCAAAAGGAAAAUACUUGAAGUAUUUAGACAUGUUUAAGGGUCAUUUAACUAAAUUCAAACUUCUUAAAUUUUCUCCAAGGUCUUCAGUGGCAGUUUUAUCUCUAGACAUGACAGAUUAGGCCUCUAACCACGUGAGAUAGACUUCAAAAAAUGUUCAGAGGAGAAAGAAGUACACACGAUUAUUUGGUAUGAGAUUCUACAAAAAAAAAAAAAAAAAGAGAGAAAUCUCAAACAAGUCCAGGAAGCUCUCAAUAAUAAUGCAUUUAACCUGGGUGAUGAGGUGGUGGGGUAAGGCAAUAAUGAAUAGGUGCCACACAAAUUCACUGUUACCAGGUUUGGUGAAGCCCUCAGGGUAGCUCCAUUGUCAUUGUGUUCAUUCUCCUGGUCAGUUACCCUCCCAGACCCUCCAACUGUCAAAUCAUAGAGCUUCCUUGGCAUAGGAUUCCAUCACCACUUCAACAUGAUUGUGGAUUCCUUUGGUAAAUACAUAAAAAGUAGUUUUACCAAAACUGUAGGUGAGAAAAUUAAAGUAGUCUUACUUAAAACAGGCACAGAACCCCCAAAAGAAGCUGAAAGACUUUAACAAUGGAGCAGAUGUAGAAAUAUGUAGAUUCUACAGAAUAAAAUGGAACUUACUCCACUUUCUUCCUUCCUCAAAUCAUAUUGAGCAUAUGCUAUAUGCUUGCCAUUGUCUAGGCACUUGAAUACAGUAAUGGACAAGACUGAGGUGUUCUCUACCCUUAAGAUACUUAGAAUCCUGCAGGGAAGGCAGGUAAUUAACCUGGCAGAAAUAAAAAUGUGGGACAGGUACUAUCAUAAUACACAUAGUAUAAGAGACACGUGGCUUAUAUGGGGGAUGCCUUCUAUGCCCAAAGGAACAAAAUUUAGGCUGGAAUCUGAAGAAUGAUUAGGGAUUAGAAAGGUUAGGCAGAGAGGUAGUGAAUGUUCCAGACACUCAUACCAUGAGCAGCCAUGAGUCUUAGAAAAAUCAAUCCAGAGGCAGGUAGGGAAUGGCAUAUGCAGGAGCAGUCCAACCAAGAGUGGCUGAUGGCCUAGACAGUGAAGUAAGAAUGGACAGAAGUAGAGAGGUUUCAGAGAGUUAUGAGGUGUAAUCAAUGGGAUAUAGCGAGUUAUUGAAUAUGAGAUGUGAAGGGCUGAGAAGACUCAUGAAUGAUACUGAGAUUUCUGGAUAUGUGAUGGUCUUGUUCACAGACCUGAGAAUAUUGGGAAAAUAGAAGUUUAAGGAGAAAAAAUAAUGCUAAAAUUUGGGAUAUGCGGAAUUUGACAUUCCUUUGGAAUAUCCAAGUACAAAUGACCAAGGUACAGUUGUACGUAAGAAUUCAUGAAUGAAGUCUAAGGCCACUGAAUGAGGUAUGUAUUUGAGAGUUAACCUAUAUAUGGUAACUAAACCCAUGGGAGUGAAUGAUAUCAGAGAAUUAAGAUGGAAUAUAUAAGAAAUAUGGUCCAGCAGGAAUGCAUAAGAAAGACUUCAGGGAAAUGGACUUGGCCCAGUGGUUAGGGCAUCCGUCUACCACAUGGGAGGUCCGUGGUUCAAACCCCGGGCCUCCUUGACCCGUGUGGAGCUGGCCAUGCGCAGCGCUGAUGCGCACAAGGAGUGCCGAGCCACGCAGGGGUGUCCCCCGCGUAGGGGAGCCCCACGCACAAGGAGUGCACCCGUAAGGAGAGCCGCCCAGCGCAAAAGAAAGUGCAGCCUGCCCAGGAAUGGCGCCGCCCACACUUCCCGUGCCACUGAUGACAACAGAAGCGGACAAAGAACAAGACGAAGCAAAUAGACACAGAGAACAGACAACCAGGGGAGGGGAGGGAAUUAAAUAAAUAAAUAAAUCUUUAAAAAAAAAAAAAAAAGACUUCAGGUCUGAUUAUACUAUAAGCUGACAGAUUCAACAAAGUGAUGCGGUCACCAAAAAAGGAAAGUGAACUUAUUAUGCAUUAAUGCAAUAUUUGGCUCUAAAAUAAGGCGGCCAAUAUCCCUGUUCUCCUUGGAGCUGAUCAGACCACUCUUAGAAACAUUAAAUUUUGGACACUGUACUACAAGCAGAUUCAGAAGACAUGGUCAGGGAGAUGAAGAGACUGAAAUCCAAGGUAAAACCUAAGAACUAUUGAAGAAAAUGCAAAUGUUCAGUCUAAAUAAAAGAUUCUUUUUCAAAUAGUAAAAAGACAAUAAUUUAGAAGUUGUAUUAAAAUUAUCAUGUAUUCAUUAAUUCAAUAAUUAUUUUUCAAGGACUUGGAGGUAAUGCAUUCCUUGUCACAGAGCAUAGUUAGCUUUGGCUAGGUGAAGACCUGGUAGGGAUUCUGUAGAGAAAAUGAGAUCAUCAGAUGGUUGGAUAGUUUAACAAACUUUUAAUGUACUUUUCAAGCUUGAGAUUCUGUGUUUUCAAGAUUACCAAGAAAUAUCUCAAUAAUGCAAAUUUAUCACAUGCGUGUUUUAGUGGGAGAAAAGGACUUUAAAAAGAGGGUUCUCAGGGAGGCAAAGGAAAUGAGUCCUGAUUUAUUGUGCAAGUUGGUAAAAACCAUAUAAACCUAUACUGAGUCAUAGAUAAGCCACUUUGAAUCAUGACAAGUUUAAUGAACUUCAUAUUCUUCCAAAGAUCGACCCAGGAAAAGGAGAGGCUGAGAGGCAGAGGCAGGAUUGUGGAUUACAUAAUGAGGCCCCUCCCAUGCCUCAAGGAAGACAUUGGCUUAGACUUGUCACUGCAGAAUUUAUCAAUGAUAUUGUAUACAUUCAUCCUGAUCAACAAUUAUAUUUAUAUUUGUAUUUUUUAAAAAUUCCAUCUAGUUUUAGUCACUCC